GAUGAACGCUGGCGGCGUGCUUAAUACAUGCAAGUCGAGCGAACAGACGAGGAGCUUGCUCCUCUGACGUUAGCGGCGGACGGGUGAGUAACACGUGGAUAACCUACCUAUAAGACUGGGAUAACUUCGGGAAACCGGAGCUAAUACCGGAUAACAUGUUGAACCGCAUGGUUCAACAGUGAAAGACGGUCUUGCUGUCACUUAUAGAUGGAUCCGCGCCGCAUUAGCUAGUUGGUAAGGUAACGGCUUACCAAGGCAACGAUGCGUAGCCGACCUGAGAGGGUGAUCGGCCACACUGGAACUGAGACACGGUCCAGACUCCUACGGGAGGCAGCAGUAGGGAAUCUUCCGCAAUGGGCGAAAGCCUGACGGAGCAACGCCGCGUGAGUGAAGAAGGUCUUCGGAUCGUAAAACUCUGUUAUUAGGGAAGAACAAAUGUGUAAGUAACUAUGCACGUCUUGACGGUACCUAAUCAGAAAGCCACGGCUAACUACGUG
rnacentral:rRNA from 1 species